rnacentral:rRNA from 1 species
ACUACGGGAGGCUGCAGUGGGGGAUAUUGCACAAUGGGGGGAACCCUGAUGCAGCGACGCCGCGUGGGUGAAGAAGCGCCUCGGCGCGUAAAGCCCUGUCAGCAGGGAAGAAAAUGACGGUACCUGAAGAAGAAGCCCCGGCUAACUACGUGCCAGCAGCCGCGGUAAUACGUAGGGGGCAAGCGUUAUCCGGAUUUACUGGGUGUAAAGGGGGCGCAGACGGCGAUGCAAGCCAGGCGUGAAAGCCCGGGGCCCAACCCCGGGACUGCUCUUGGAACUGCGUGGCUGGAGUGAAGGAGGGGCAGGCGGAAUUGCUGGUGUAGCGGUGAAAUGCGUAGAUAUCAGGAGGAACACCGGUGGCGAAGGCGGCCUGCUGGACUGCAACUGACGUUGAGGCCCGAAAGCGUGGGGAGCAAACAGGAUUAGAUACCCCAGUAGUC